rnacentral:rRNA from 1 species
AGUGAACGCUGGCGGUAGGCCUAACACAUGCAAGUCGAACGGCAGCACAGUAAGAGCUUGCUCUUACGGGUGGCGAGUGGCGGACGGGUGAGGAAUACAUCGGAAUCUACUUUUUCGUGGGGGAUAACGUAGGGAAACUUACGCUAAUACCGCAUACGACCUACGGGUGAAAGCAGGGGAUCUUCGGACCUUGCGCGAUUGAAUGAGCCGAUGUCGGAUUAGCUAGUUGGCGGGGUAAAGGCCCACCAAGGCGACGAUCCGUAGCUGGUCUGAGAGGAUGAUCAGCCACACUGGAACUGAGACACGGUCCGGACUCCUACGGGAGGCAGCAGUGGGGAAUAUUGGACAAUGGGCGCAAGCCUGAUCCAGCCAUACCGCGUGGGUGAAGAAGGCCUUCGGGUUGUAAAGCCCUUUUGUUGGGAAAGAGAAGCAGCAGGUUAAUACCCCGCUGUUCUGACGGUACCCAAAGAAUAAGCACCGGCUAACUUCGUG